GCCCGGCUAGCUCAGUUGGUAGAGCAUGGGAUUCUUAAUCCCAGGGUCAUGGGUUCGGGUCCCACGUUGGGCG